AAACCAAGAGUUCCAAAUGGUGAAGUUGAAAUCAUCCCUUCGUAAAUUUUACGGACGCCAUCACGAGUUGGUUGACCGUUAUGGAAUAACCGUUUCACAAAUGAUAUCGGAUAUGUUCCUUACGUCGUAAUUACAAUCCCCUUCCCUUUCAUGAAUGUGACCUACCGAAUUAGACUAUUUACCGGAUUUGUUAUCACAUAAGCAACACGACGGGUGCCGCAUGUGGAGCAGGAUCUGCUUACCCUUCCGGAGCACCUGAGAUCACCC
rnacentral:lncRNA from 1 species